AGUAAUCCCAAAUUCAACACACUCAGUUUAACUGAGUUGUUCCCGGGUUGUAUAACUUGGGUGCCUCGCAGAAUGGCCUGCCUACGGUGGAGCGCUUUAGUUCUACCAAUGCCUCGCAGAAUGGCCUGCCUAAGGUGGAGCGCCUCAGUUCUACCAAUGCCUCGCAGAAUGGCCUGCCUACGGUGGAGCGCCUUAGUUCUUCCAAUGCCUCGCAGAAUGGCCUGCCUACGGUGGAGCGCCUUAGUUCUACCAAUAACCCAGCUAUACCUGGCAUACUUUGUAUGCCUACGUAUAGACUCACCUUUGACAGGGUGCCUACUUGUCUGAAACCUGUGGGGUGCUCGCGAUCUUGUAUUGCCAGUCCACUUCGUGGGUGACGAGUUGUGCUGUCGUUCGCGGCAGUGCUAGGCUCAAAGAGUGGUUGAAUCAGCUACGGCUGGCCCACCGCCCUGUUUUGUUUCAAACCCAUUUUACACUGUUAAAGUGGUUCAAGCUGAUUUCGGUUGGUUUGGAUCAUUGCCCACGACAUGUUCCUGGCGUGAGCUGGGUUACAUGUCCAGUCGCCUGGCGGUGCCUUAUCCCAGGUAGGACUGAUAAAGCGUCGUUCAUUUGGGAAACCAGGUGACGAAGCUUGUACAACUCUGAGCGGUGGAUCACUCGGCUCGUGUGUCGAUGAAGAGCGCAGCCAACUGUGUGAAUUAAUGUGAACUGCAUACUGCUUUGAACAUCGACAUCUUGAACGCACAUUGCGGCCAUGGGUUAGCUCAUGGCCACGCCUGUCCGAGGGUCGGCUUAUAAAUUAUCACGACGCCCUACAAGUCGUGGCUUGGGUUUUGCCAGCUGACGUGAUUACCCUGGUUUGUUUCAAAUUUGGGGUGUCAGAUCUAUGGCGUUUCCCUAAUGUAUCCAGUUGCAACACUUUGAGGAUGUGACUGUGGAGUCGUGGCUGAAUAUUUAUGUGCGCGCUCCAUCAGGUCGUCCUAGUUGUUUUCUGGUUUGCGAUUAUUCGCAUUUUUCCUGACCUCGGAUCAGACGUGAAUACCCGCUGAACUUAAGCAUAUCACUAAGCGGAGGAAAAGAAACUAACAAGGAUUCCCCCAGUAACGGCGAGUGAACAGGGAAAAGCCCAGCACCGAAGCCUGUGGCCAUUUGGUUACUAGGCAAUGUGGUGUUUAGGUCGUUCCGCAGAAGUGCUGCUCCACCCUAAGUCCAUCAAUGAGUAUGGUAGUAUGGACAUGGCCCAUUGAGGGUGAAAGGCCCGUGGGGGUGGAGCGUCGAUUGGUCAGUACUUCUCUGGGUAGACCUUGGAGUCGGGUUGUUUGAGAAUGCAGCCCAAAGUGGGUGGUAAACUCCAUCCAAGGCUAAAUACUAGCACGAGUCCGAUAGCAAACAAGUACCGUGAGGGAAAGUUGAAAAGUACUUUGAAGAGAGAGUAAACAGUGCGUGAAACCGCUCAGAGGUAAACGGGUGGAGUUGAACUGCAAGCUCUGAGAAUUCAGCUGAUGAGUGUUUUGAGCUUGGUCAAAAGGUGAACUCCGGGGUCUGUGUAGUAGCAGGUCAUCACUUUCGGGUGGUGAUGCGCGAUGCACUUAUCAAGUGUUGUGCGCUCCGGGUGUUCUUCGGCCAACUUGUCAGUGCACUUUCUCAGAGUGGUCACCACGACCGGCGCUGCCGUCUGGCUGCUUUGGUUAAACCGGCUUUGCAUAGUCCUUGUGGCUUUGCUUAGUCGGGAUGGCAGGUAGCUCGUUGACUUGCUUGCGGCUUGCUGUAAGCGUUCGGUUUUCGAGUGUAAUCAGCUGACCAAAGUGGUUCAGUGCGGUGUGUCGGAGACGGCGGCUUGUGGUGUGUGCAUGCGUUCUGUUUCGCUGACUUGUCCGAGUUUGGUUAUCAUGUUGCCUGUUUAAACAGGCCUGGUGAUGGCUCGGAUUUGUUCGGUGGGCGGCUGCGUGUGUGGCACUAUUCCAAGGGCCAAUAGUCUGUGGUGUAGUGGUAGACUUUCCACCCGACCCGUCUUGAAACACGGACCAAGGAGAGUAACAUGUGCGCGAGUCAUUGGGCGUUACGAAACCCAAAGGCGCAGUGAAAGUGAAGGCUUGACUUGUUCAGGCUGAGGUGAGAUCCUGUCGUUUCUCACGCGCGGUACUACCAAGCAUCGAGCGGCAGGCGCAUCACCGGCCCGUCCCAUGGCAUUUGUUUUCAAACAGUUUUCAGUCGGGGCGGAGCAUGAGCGCACAUGUUGAGACCCGAAAGAUGGUGAACUAUGCUUGCGCAGGUUGAAGCCAGAGGAAA
rnacentral:rRNA from 1 species